AAAAAUUUAUUCAAUUUUCAAAAAAACAAAAAAAUGUGAUUUUAUAAAUUGAACUAAAACACGAAACAAUAAAUCUAAGCCCAUUUUUAAUUGUGGCCCAAAAUCGAGAAAAAGAAGAAAAAGGGAAUCAACACACGCCAGCCGGCGGCAGAUACAAAGAAUGGUGCUUGGUUUUUGGUUUUGCAUGAAUGGCGAGAAAAUUGAAAACUUUUACCGCACACAGACGGCCAGGGCCAGCCAGCCAGCCAACCGAAUCUCUUUCUAAUUUCCGAUUGAAUGGCCGUGGAUCAAAACAAAUUCAGUGAGUGAGUGCUUUUCAUUGUCUUCUUGUCCAGUUACAAAUAAAUUUUAUUAUCGUUUAACAA